GAUCAAGUGUCUUAAGGGCAUUUGGUGGAUGCCUUGGCAUGCACAGCCGAUGAAGGACGUGAUACGCUGCGAAAAGCCAUGGGGAGCUGCGAAUACGCUUUGAUCCAUGGAUAUCCGAAUGGGGAAACCCACCUUAGAUACUUGGAAAUUCAAACAAGCCGUACGGCUUGACCAUUCAUGCCCUCGGGCCUGUUUGGUUUCCAAGUAUCGAGACAAGGUAUCUUAUCCUGAAUACAUAGGGAUAAGAAGGGAACGCGGGGAACUGAAACAUCUAAGUACCCGUAGGAAAGGACAUCAACCGAGACUCCGUCAGUAGCGGCGAGCGAACGCGGACCAGGCCAGUGGCGAUUGGGAGACAAGCGGAACAUUCUGGAAAGGAUGGCCAUAGUGGGUGACAGCCCCGUACGCGUAAUGCAACCAAUCGUCCUCGAGUAAGGCGGGACACGUGAAAUCCUGUCUGAACGUGGGGGGACCACCCUCCAAGCCUAAGUACUCGUGCAUGACCGAUAGCGAACCAGUACCGUGAGGGAAAGGUGAAAAGCACCCCGACAAGGGGAGUGAAAGAGUACCUGAAACCGGAUGCCUACAAACAGUCGGAGCGCGCAAGCGUGACGGCGUACCUUUUGUAUAAUGGGUCAACGACUUAAUGUGGCGAGCAAGCUUAAACCGAUAGGUGUAGGCGCAGCGAAAGCGAGUCUGAACAGGGCGUUCAGUUCGUCGCAUUAGACCCGAAACCGAGUGAUCUAGCCAUGAGCAGGCUGAAGGUUGGGUAACACCAACUGAAGGGCCGAACCCGUAUCUGUUGCAAUAGAUUGGGAUGACUUGUGGCUAGGGGUGAAAGGCCAAUCAAACUCGGAAAUAGCUGGUUCUCUGCGAAAUCUAUUUAGGUAGAGCGUCAGCCGAAUACUCCCGGGGGUAGAGCACUGGAUGGGUAAUGGGGACUCACCGUCUUACUGAUCCUAACCAAACUCCGAAUACCGGGAAGUAAUAGCUGGCAGACACACGGCGGGUGCUAACGUCCGUCGUGGAGAGGGAAACAACCCUGACCGCCGAUUAAGGUCCCCAAGUUAUGGCUAAGUGGGAAAGGAAGUGGAAAUCCCAAAACAACCAGGAUGUUGGCUUAGAAGCAGCCAUCAUUUAAAGAAAGCGUAACAGCUCACUGGUCUAAAUAAGGGUUUCUGCGCCGAAAAUGUAACGGGGCUAAAGCCAUACACCGAAGUCGCGGGCUCGCAAGAGCGGUAGCAGAGCGUUCCGCAAGUCAGUGAAGGGAUACCCGCGAGGGAUCCUGGAGAUACCGGAAGUGCGAAUGUUGACAUGAGUAACGAUAAAGGGGGUGAGAGACCCCCUCGCCGAAAGUCCAAGGGUUCCUGCUUAAAGUUAAUCUGAGCAGGGUUAGUCGGCCCCUAAGGCGAGGCCGAAAGGCGUAGUCGAUGGGAAGCAGGUUAAUAUUCCUGCACCCGGAGGUAGUGACGAAUGCCGUAAAUCGUCAUCCCUUAUCGGAUUGGGAUGGCGGUGAUGGUGUUCCGGGAAAUAGCUCCUCCGUACGGACCGUACCCGAAACCGACACAGGUGGACAGGUAGAGUAUACCAAGGCGCUUGAGAGAACUAUGUUGAAGGAACUCGGCAAAUUGCACGCGUAACUUCGGAAGAAGCGUGACCCUUUUGCGGGCAACCGCGGGAGGGUGGCACAGACCAGGGGGUAGCGACUGUUUAUCAAAAACACAGGGCUCUGCGAAGUCGCAAGACGACGUAUAGGGUCUGACGCCUGCCCGGUGCCGGAAGGUUAAGAGGAGAGGUGCAAGCCUUGAAUUGAAGCCCCGGUAAACGGCGGCCGUAACUAUAACGGUCCUAAGGUAGCGAAAUUCCUUGUCGGGUAAGUUCCGACCUGCACGAAUGGCGUAACGACUUCCCCGCUGUCUCCAACAUAGACUCAGUGAAAUUGAAUUCCCCGUGAAGAUGCGGGGUUCCUGCGGUUAGACGGAAAGACCCCGUGCACCUUUACUAUAGCUUCACACUGGUAUUCGCCAAGGCAUGUGUAGGAUAGGUGGUAGGCUUUGAAACCCGGGCGCCAGCUCGGGUGGAGCCAUCCUUGAAAUACCACCCUUAUCUUCGUGGAUAUCUAACCGCGGCCCGUUAUCCGGGUC
rnacentral:rRNA from 1 species